UCUAUUGUUCUCGUGACAUCGCUUUUGUCACUGUACACAAAAAAAUUAUAUUUGUGAUUAUAAUCAAUAAUAAAAAUUGUUUAACGGAAAGACGAGAUAACAAAUCAUAUUUGUAAAUACAACCAAGAUAAUAAAUCGUUUUUUAUUAAAUAAACCAGAUAUCUACCUGAAGACAAGCCACGAAAUGAAUUGGUCAACUCGACUCACUGUAUUGAUGAUUGUUUCUUGUAUUACCACGAUGCAUGUCCAUAGUUAUUUCCAAAUUCAUUCAAUGGAUCCUACAUUAAUGAUAAUCGACGAUAAAGAAGCCUUUGCUUUUCUUGGUAAGAAUACAGGUAAAAAUUCCAAAUGCGAAGAAACUCCAACACCUGGUUACGGUUUAUUCGUCGACAAUGAAGAAGUGCCCAAGCCAUUUGUGGUGGUGUAAUAUACCUGACACGAAAGCCUUAUAAAGGCGUUUUCAAAGAAGCUGGCUCAGGAUAAAGAAAGACUAUUACUUCAGAUUUUUCACUUGCCUCAAAACAACAUUCUAACAUAAGACUCCUUGAAGUUGUACUUUUUCAUGUUUGUUAAUACAAAUAAUGUAUAUAUUGUGUACAUCCUUCUAAUAUACUAUUAACGUCUUAUAAUUGUUCUGUUUAAGUUCUGUUAAUAUUGAUGUAUAUGCUGUGCACAUCCUUCUAAUAUACUGUUAACUCCUUACAAUUGUCCUUAUAUGUUCUGUUAAUACUAUUUGAUAUGCUCCGUCUUACCUUCUAACAUACUGUUAACUCAGUACAGUUAUCAUUUAUAUGUUCUGUUAAUAAAAUUUAAUAUGUUGUGUAUAACAUUCUAAUAUACUGUUAACUCUUUAAAAUUAAAUAUUUUUCAUGUUCUGUUUAUACAAAUUUUUAUGCUGUAUGAAACCUUCUAACAUACUGAUAAAUCCUUACAAUUAUACAUUUUAUGUUUUGGCAAUACAAAUUAAUAUGCUGUUUACAACCUUCUAAUAUACUUUUAACUCCUUACAA